GGUUAAGCGACUAAGCGUACACGGUGGAUGCCCUGGCAGUCAGAGGCGAUGAAGGACGUGCUAAUCUGCGAUAAGCGUCGGUAAGGUGAUAUGAACCGUUAUAACCGGCGAUUUCCGAAUGGGGAAACCCAGUGUGUUUCGACACACUAUCAUUAACUGAAUCCAUAGGUUAAUGAGGCGAACCGGGGGAACUGAAACAUCUAAGUACCCCGAGGAAAAGAAAUCAACCGAGAUUCCCCCAGUAGCGGCGAGCGAACGGGGAGCAGCCCAGAGCCUGAAUCAGUGUGUGUGUUAGUGGAAGCGUCUGGAAAGGCGCGCGAUACAGGGUGACAGCCCCGUACACAAAAAUGCACAUGCUGUGAGCUCGAUGAGUAGGGCGGGACACGUGGUAUCCUGUCUGAAUAUGGGGGGACCAUCCUCCAAGGCUAAAUACUCCUGACUGACCGAUAGUGAACCAGUACCGUGAGGGAAAGGCGAAAAGAACCCCGGCGAGGGGAGUGAAAAAGAACCUGAAACCGUGUACGUACAAGCAGUGGGAGCACGCUUAGGCGUGUGACUGCGUACCUUUUGUAUAAUGGGUCAGCGACUUAUAUUCUGUAGCAAGGUUAACCGAAUAGGGGAGCCGAAGGGAAACCGAGUCUUAACUGGGCGUUAAGUUGCAGGGUAUAGACCCGAAACCCGGUGAUCUAGCCAUGGGCAGGUUGAAGGUUGGGUAACACUAACUGGAGGACCGAACCGACUAAUGUUGAAAAAUUAGCGGAUGACUUGUGGCUGGGGGUGAAAGGCCAAUCAAACCGGGAGAUAGCUGGUUCUCCCCGAAAGCUAUUUAGGUAGCGCCUCGUGAACUCAUCUCCGGGGGUAGAGCACUGUUUCGGCAAGGGGGUCAUCCCGACUUACCAACCCGAUGCAAACUGCGAAUACCGGAGAAUGUUAUCACGGGAGACACACGGCGGGUGCUAACGUCCGUCGUGAAGAGGGAAACAACCCAGACCGCCAGCUAAGGUCCCAAAGUCAUGGUUAAGUGGGAAACGAUGUGGGAAGGCCCAGACAGCCAGGAUGUUGGCUUAGAAGCAGCCAUCAUUUAAAGAAAGCGUAAUAGCUCACUGGUCGAGUCGGCCUGCGCGGAAGAUGUAACGGGGCUAAACCAUGCACCGAAGCUGCGGCAGCGACGCUUAUGCGUUGUUGGGUAGGGGAGCGUUCUGUAAGCCUGUGAAGGUGUGCUGUGAGGCAUGCUGGAGGUAUCAGAAGUGCGAAUGCUGACAUAAGUAACGAUAAAGCGGGUGAAAAGCCCGCUCGCCGGAAGACCAAGGGUUCCUGUCCAACGUUAAUCGGGGCAGGGUGAGUCGACCCCUAAGGCGAGGCCGAAAGGCGUAGUCGAUGGGAAACAGGUUAAUAUUCCUGUACUUGGUGUUACUGCGAAGGGGGGACGGAGAAGGCUAUGUUGGCCGGGCGACGGUUGUCCCGGUUUAAGCGUGUAGGCUGGUUUUCCAGGCAAAUCCGGAAAAUCAAGGCUGAGGCGUGAUGACGAGGCACUACGGUGCUGAAGCAACAAAUGCCCUGCUUCCAGGAAAAGCCUCUAAGCAUCAGGUAACAUCAAAUCGUACCCCAAACCGACACAGGUGGUCAGGUAGAGAAUACCAAGGCGCUUGAGAGAACUCGGGUGAAGGAACUAGGCAAAAUGGUGCCGUAACUUCGGGAGAAGGCACGCUGAUAUGUAGGUGAAGCGACUUGCUCGUGGAGCUGAAAUCAGUCGAAGAUACCAGCUGGCUGCAACUGUUUAUUAAAAACACAGCACUGUGCAAACACGAAAGUGGACGUAUACGGUGUGACGCCUGCCCGGUGCCGGAAGGUUAAUUGAUGGGGUUAGCGCAAGCGAAGCUCUUGAUCGAAGCCCCGGUAAACGGCGGCCGUAACUAUAACGGUCCUAAGGUAGCGAAAUUCCUUGUCGGGUAAGUUCCGACCUGCACGAAUGGCGUAAUGAUGGCCAGGCUGUCUCCACCCGAGACUCAGUGAAAUUGAACUCGCUGUGAAGAUGCAGUGUACCCGCGGCAAGACGGAAAGACCCCGUGAACCUUUACUAUAGCUUGACACUGAACAUUGAGCCUUGAUGUGUAGGAUAGGUGGGAGGCUUUGAAGUGUGGACGCCAGUCUGCAUGGAGCCGACCUUGAAAUACCACCCUUUAAUGUUUGAUGUUCUAACGUUGACCCGUAAUCCGGGUUGCGGACAGUGUCUGGUGGGUAGUUUG
rnacentral:rRNA from 1 species